UUAUUUUCCCACACUGCUAUUUCCUGCUUGUUUUUCCAUCUAAGGAUUUCAAAUGCACCUAUUCAUAGUACCCUGAUGCCAGACCUACCAAAGCCACAGAUUAAAGAGGGAAACGAAAUAUGCAGCUGAACUUUAAACUCAGUGUGGAAUGAUUUGCAUUUUUCUUAUUAAGCUUCUCAAUUUCAUCUUCUCACAACAAGUAGCGACUUAAGCCAUAGCAGCCGAAAAAAUAACAUCAGAGGCCGAUUGACUGGCUGCAGAAGACCAGCAUCCAUGGGAGACAAGCAGUCUCAAAGGAGGUGGCUGUUCGAAUGAGAGGAUGGGCACUCUAAGUAGAGGAACUUCCUGGAGGGUUGUAGAAGCUUUGCAAACAAAAGCAGUACCCUGGAAAUGGCAAGCAAGACAAGAUACGAGCUGCAAUACAAAGGACAAGAGCCAUCCUUUUAAAACUUAAAGAGAUACUUACACCAGAAAUUAACCAUUUUUUACAUCUAUUAUAACAUUGUCCUUGCAUGCUGUUCAUAGUUUUGCCUUAAAAGUAUUUGCCUGAUGCUUUUACAUUACCUGUCUGAUGCACUGUGUUUCUCUGUGAGGGGGGCUGCCAUUUUUGUGCAGGAAUAGUCUGUUAGCAUUAGAAGCUGUCAGGUUUAGAAAAUUUAAGUACCAAUUACUUACAAAAGCAGCCCUAUCAGUGAAAAAUGAUCAACAUGA